rnacentral:rRNA from 1 species
GACGAACGCUGGCGGCGUGCUUAACACAUGCAAGUCGAACGGAAAGGCCCUGCUUUUGUGGGGUGCUCGAGUGGCGAACGGGGGAGUAACACGUGAGUAACCUGCCCUUGACUUUGGGAUAACUUCAGGAAACUGGGGCUAAUACCGGAUAGGAGCUCCUGCUGCAUGGUGGGGGUUGGAAAGUUUCGGCGGUUGGGGAUGGACUCGCGGCCUAUCAGCUUGUUGGUGGGGUAGUGGCUUACCAAGGCUUUGACGGGUAGCCGGCCUGAGAGGGUGACCGGCCACAUUGGGACUGAGAUACGGCCCAGACUCCUCCGGGACGCAGCAGUGGGGAAUAUUGCACAAUGGGCGGAAGCCUGGUGCGGCAACGCCGCGUGCGGGAUGACGGCCUUCGGGUUGUAAACCGCUUUCGCCUGUGACGAAGCGUGAGUGACGGUAAUGGGUAAAGAAGCACCGGCUAACUACGUG